GGCUACGGCCAUAUCACGAUGAAUGCACCUCAUCCCGUCCGAUUUGAGAAGUUAAGCAUCGUCGAGCCACAUCAGUACUGAGGUUGGAGACAACUUGGGAACCUGUAAAUUCAUUUUAC
rnacentral:rRNA from 1 species